GAUGAACGCUGGCGGCGUGCUUAACACAUGCAAGUCGAGCGAUGAAGUUUCCUUCGGGAAACGGAUUAGCGGCGGACGGGUGAGUAACACGUGGGUAACCUGCCUCAUAGAGUGGAAUAGCCUUCCGAAAGGAAGAUUAAUACCGCAUAACGUUGAAAGAUGGCAUCAUCAUUCAACCAAAGGAGCAAUCCGCUAUGAGAUGGACCCCGCGGCGCAUUAGCUAGUUGGUGGGGUAACGGCCUACCAAGGCGACGAUGCGUAGCCGACCUGAGAGGGUGAUCGGCCACAUUGGGACUGAGACACGGCCCAGACUCCUACGGGAGGCUG
rnacentral:rRNA from 1 species